AACUGGGUCCUGCACAACAGAAACCUAUGAACAUGGUCAGGUCCGGAAGGAAGCAGCCAUAAGUAGAUUCUUCUGUGUGUUGCAGCACAACCCGGUCGAG
rnacentral:SRP_RNA from 1 species